UACGAGAGGUGCAAGCGUUGUCCGGAUUUAUUGGGCGUAAAGCGUUUCUAAAGGCUCUUUUGUUAGUUUUCUUUUAAAGCCCGAGGCUCAACCUCGGAAAGGGGGAAAAUACUGCAAGAGUUGAGAUAUUUCGGGGUUACUAGAACUAUCGGUGUAGGGGUGAAAUCCGUUGAUAUCGAUAGGAAUUCCAAGGGCAAAGGCAGGUAACUAGGAAUAUUCUGACGCUGAUGAACGAAAGCUAGGGGAGCGAAAGGG
rnacentral:rRNA from 1 species